CAAACUCAAUCCCAGCGCGGGCCCAAAUUAACCUACCUCAUUCGUACACAGAGUAACGCCAACUUUCUACCAUGUGCCCGAGUGUGCGAGUAUAUAUUGGCACGAAGGUCUCCACUCCGCAUCGAUUGAGGGACUGUGUGUCGUAACUGAGUAAUUUCAUUACUUACGGGGUGCGUGCGAUCAACCGCAGGCUUUCGGGGAGUCGGAGUUCAAGAACCUUCAAUAUAUACCACAAAAUGAACGGAUACAAUUAAGCAGAGGAAGCGAGCUGUCAAUGAAAAAAAAGAAAAAAGAAAAUCUGGAACAGGGAGUCUGUCUCAUAAGUCUGUCACACUCGUGAAUCAUCAUAUCGGCGGGGAAAGUGGUCGUCGUUCAAGGUUUGCGGGAGUCCAAUCCGAAGAAGAAAAAUGACGGAAGAGGAUUUCGCGGGGCGAAUAUGUGACAGGGGUAAGAGUUGUCAGCCACAGUCAACGUGGACAUGUAUACAGUCGCGAUGUCGUCUGCUUCACUCAAUCGACGCAGACGAUUUCCAACAUAGGCUUUCUCUGGCUACUAGCGGCUACUCAUGUGGCCAAUGGCGGAUGGUUUCUAUGGCUACAGCCGGUGAAAGUACGUCGUGAUUGGCGGACUCGAGUACGCACGUUGUUCACGCUGGGUGUAGUAUAGGCACCGACUGCGGGGGUGCUUGGGGGCAUGAGCCCCCCAGGAACUUUCCGAGGGGGGGGGGCAGGCCCCCUCCGGAAAGUCUAAUCAGCUGACACUCAAGAUGAAAGCUUCGAGGGAUAUACUAAUAAUCGCGGGUUUCAUGCGAGUAAUUAUGAAAAUCCUGUAAAAAUGUGCUUCACAGCGUCCCAACACGAAAUUCCCGACACCAUGCCCGACCUUUGUGCAUGAAAGGGGGGGGGGGCGUUGUGCCCCCCAGUUGAAAAAAACACCAGACCGGUCUGGUGUUUCCUGGUGUAUACACCAGACCAGUGUGGUGUGUCCUGGUGUAUACACCAGACCGGUGUGGUGUGUCGUGGUGUAUACACCAGACCGGUGUGGUGUGUCGUGGUGUAUACACCAGACCGGUGUGGUGUGUCCUCAUAUAUACACCAGACUGGUGUGGUGUGUCCUGGUGUACAUACCAGGCUGGUGUGGUGUGUCCUGGUGUAUACACCAGACCGGUGUGGUGUGUCCUUGUGUACACACCAGGCUGGUAUGGUGUAUCUUAGUGUACACACCAGACUGCUCUGAUGCUUCCUGGUGUACACACCAGGCUGGUGUGGUAUCUUCUGGGGUACACACCAGGCUGCUGCUGUGUAAAUGCCAGGAAAAAUGCCGUUAGAUAGAUUCAUUUUCGCACAAGUUCGCCAGUGCAUUUCGCAGACAGCAAAGUUUACGUCAGUAUAUAUAUACCACGUGCACUCAAAGGCUCCCAGCAGAAGUUUCAUUCAAGCAGCCUCUUCGUUGCAGGUGAGGGUACAAAAUCCUCACAUAUUUUUGGUCUCACUAACCUUUUUCAUACAAGAGAACUGCUGAGAACUCAUUGGACAAGUAAACAAGUUUAAUAUGAAAAAUAACACAAUACAUGUAUAUGCAUCAUGCAAGGAGCAGGCUCAACUAGGUAGCAGGAGAUGGUACAAAAUGCUGGCAUAUUGUUUGUCUCACUAACCAGUUUUUAACCUUGUAAAUAACUUGUAAUUUAACCUUGUACGUACAAGAUAAUUAUGGGGAACUCACUGGACAGGUAAACAACCUUAAUAUGAGAAAGAACAAUGAAUAUAUAGACUACCAAAGCAAACAGAACAGCAAUUGUAGAGCAAUUAUUUGGACAUUUAGUAUGGCCUGUUAUCAAAUAAAUCGAGAAAAUAACUCUCA